rnacentral:rRNA from 1 species
ACGGAGGGUGCAAGCGUUGUUCGGAAUUAUUGGGCGUAAAGCGCGUGUAGGCUGAUAUGUAGGUCAGAUGUGAAAUCCCUUGGCUCAACUAAGGAAGAGCAUCUGAAACCGUGUGACUUGAGUCCGGUAGAGGAGAGUGGAAUUCCUAGUGUAGAGGUGAAAUGCGUAGAUAUUAGGAAGAACACCAGUGGCGAAGGCGGCUCACUGGAUUGAAACUGACGCUGAUUCGCGAAAGCGUGGGUAGCAAACAG